UCACGAAGGCGGUUCUGCCUAGGCGAGGUUUAGUCAUUGCACCCAGAAUGAAUUGACCCUAGCGAUUAUCCCAAAUGUGGAUAACUCGGUCGUGUAAUUUCUGCUAGUGGGGACUGCGUUAGCGCUCUCCCUUUUGUGUAUUUGCUCCUUAUUAAUAUCCUGUUGGUAUACGAGUUAGGUCAAUGAGCGGCCACGCUAUUGUCGUUAGAGUAUGUUAUAUUCAUGCCUUGCCAUUAUCCAAGCUGUCCCUUUAUCCAUCCGUAUCUAGAUUGAUUCCAUAUUUGUAGUUCCACAUUCAGAUUGUGUUGCCAUUGAUUGAGCAAUAGAAUGAGCGCCAAAAUUUGGAAGUAUCAUUAUUUGCUGUCCAAGUUUCACAUUCAGAUUGUGUUGCCAUUGAUUGAGCAAUAGAAUGAGCGCCAAGAUUCGGAAAUAUCAUUAUUCUCCGUUUAAGAUUGUGUUGCCAUUGAUUGAGCAAUAGACUGAGCGCCAAGAUUCGGAAAUAUCAUUAUUCUCCGUUUAAGGUACGUAUCGGAGCUGCGGCUCUUUGUUUAUAGUUUAAUAUUUCAAACCCUGGCUCUUUGCUAUUUCUUGUAAAGUUGUUCGGCUUCAUUCUGCCAUCGAAUGGCAAAGAACUCGCGAUGUAUCACAUAAAAUAUCUGAACUCAAGAAAUCGUAUUCUACGUUACUGACAAACCAAUCAAUUAAAAUUGCAACUUUUGCAAAUUUCGUUUUUAUUUGUUGAGAACUUCUUCCUUAGCAUAGAACAUUCAUUCAUGAUGCGCAACCAAUCGUCUCAAACCAUACUUACCUGACGAGGCAGUCAACCGCGAUCACAAAGGCGGUUCUGCCUAGGCGAGGUUUAGUCAUUGCACCCAGACUAAAUUGACCCUAGCGAUUAUCCCAAAUGUGGAUAACUCGGUCGUGUAAUUUCUGCUAGUGGGGACUGCGUUCGCGCUCUCCCUUUU